rnacentral:tRNA from 1 species
CGCAGCUGGAUUGACCUGCGGCCGAGCGCCUUCGGUGCGCUCGGCCGGCUAGUCCCGCUCCGGCGGCCGCGCC